GAAAACAAUUUGAAGCCAGAGAAUAAAGGUUCUCUGACAUGAAGCCACAAUUAGUUUUUACAAAAGCCCAAUAAGAGCCCAAAUAAUAUAUAUGAAAGUUGGUUAACUCUCUCCAUAUAAAUGACACAUCAUCACACAACAAAGUGACAUAUGUUAUUUGAUGUUUUUCAAA
rnacentral:sRNA from 1 species